rnacentral:rRNA from 1 species
CGCGUAAGAACCUGCCCUUGGGAGGGGGACAACAGCUGGAAACGGUUGCUAAUACCCCAUAGGCUGAGGAGCAAAAGGGAGGGAUCCGCCCGAGGAGGGGCUUGCGUCUGAUUAGCUGGUUGGUGGGGCAGUGGCCUACCAAGGCGACGAUCAGUAGCUGGUCUGAGAGGAUGAUCAGCCACACUGGGACUGAGACACGGCCCAGACUCCUACGGGAGGCAGCAGUGGGGAAUCUUCCGCAAUGGGCGAAAGCCUGAUCCAGCAAUGCCGCGUGAGUGAUGAAGGCCUUAGGGUUGUAAA